rnacentral:rRNA from 1 species
GCGGCGUGCUUAACACAUGCAGGUCGAACGGGCUCUUCGGAGCUAGUGGCGGACGGGUGAGUAACGCGUGAGAAUCUGCCUACAGGACGGGGACAACAGUUGGAAACGACUGCUAAUACCCGAUGUGCCGAGAGGUGAAACAUUUAUGGCCUGUAGAUGAGCUCGCGUCUGAUUAGCUAGUUGGUGGGGUAAGGGCCUACCAAGGCGACGAUCAGUAGCUGGUCUGAGAGGAUGAUCAGCCACACUGGGACUGAGACACGGCCCAGACUCCUACGGGAGGCAGCAGUGGGGAAUUUUCCGCAAUGGGCGCAAGCCUGACGGAGCAACGCCGCGUGGGGGAGGAAGGUUUUUGGACUGUAAACCCCUUUUCUCAGGGAAGAAGAAAGUGACGGUACCUGAGGAAUAAGCCUCGGCUAAUUCCGUGCCAGCAGCCGCGGUAAUACGGGAGAGGCAAGCGUUAUCCGGAAUUAUUGGGCGUAAAGCGUCCGCAGGCGGUUAAUCAAGUCUGUUGUCAAGGCGUGGGGCUCAACCUCAUACAGGCAAUGGAAACUGAUUGACUAGAGUAUGGUAGGGGUAGCGGGAAUUCCAGGUGUAGCGGUGAAAUGCGUAGAUAUCUGGAAGAACACCAGCGGCGAAAGCGCGCUACUGGGCCAUAACUGACGCUCAUGGACGAAAGCUAGGGGAGCGAAAGGGAUUAGAUACCCCUGUAGUCCUAGCCGUAAACGAUGAACACUAGGUGUUGCGUGAACCGACCCGCGCAGUGCCGUAGCCAACGCGUUAAGUGUUCCGCCUGGGGAGUACGCACGCAAGUGUGAAACUCAAAGGAAUUGACGGGGGCCCGCACAAGCGGUGGAGUAUGUGGUUUAAUUCGAUGCAACGCGAAGAACCUUACCAGGGUUUGACAUCCCCCGAAUCUCUUGGAAACGAGAGAGUGCCUUCGGGAGCGGGGAGACAGGUGGUGCAUGGCUGUCGUCAGCUCGUGUCGUGAGAUGUUGGGUUAAGUCCCGCAACGAGCGCAACCCACGUUUUUAGUUGCCAUCAUUCAGUUGGGCACUCUAGAGAAACUGCCGGUGACAAACCGGAGGAAGGUGUGGACGACGUCAAGUCAUCAUGCCCCUUACAUCCUGGGCUACACACGUACUACAAUGCUCCGGACAGCGAGACGCGAAGCCGCGAGGUGAAGCAAAUCUCCCAAACCGGGGCUCAGUUCAGAUUGCAGGCUGCAACUCGCCUGCAUGAAGGCGGAAUCGCUAGUAAUCGCAGGUCAGCAUACUGCGGUGAAUACGUUCCCGGGCCUUGUACACACCGCCCGUCACACCAUGGAAGUUGGCCAUGCCCGAAGUCGUUACCCUAACCGUUCGCGGAGGGGGAUGCCUAAGGUA